GCCAUCUAGUGACCAUUGUUAACACUCCGCGUGUGCUGAAGGAGCAGUUGAAACCGCCAUGGCUGGAUCUGAUUAACCUGCUCGAUUCCCUCACUGGGCCGUGCUGGGCAUCUCGCUUCACCUCCCCGAAAGUUAGCUUCUUCGCUGAUGAAGUGCGCAGCGCACCUACUUCAGAGACUAUGAAUAAGGACACAACGAGUGCGGAGAUCACAGGACACAGCCGAGCAGAUGUGGACAGCAGCAGGUGUUCCAGGAAGGACUACAGGCCAGCCUUUCUCCACCGGCGUCCCCGCCCCUCCAACCUGUUCCCGCGUGGCCCCCGCGCUCCUGCCGCCUGAUUCCGGCUGGAACUCGAGCUCUCGGGACCCUCUAACGGAUUUCCGAAUCUGCGCUUCUGCAGACGAGGUUAUCUUUUGUCGCCAAUUUGUCUGUCUCCAGCACAGCUCCUAAUGGAAACACAGACCUGAAAAAUCAAAGCUUGGACAUUUAUGGUCAAAGGUCAUGGCAUGGAUGAGAUCUGCACAGACUAUGCCUGAGGGAACGCUGAGGAGAUUCACAUUUUAUUGGAUAGAAGGAUACUUAAUUGACAAGUUUGCUUGCAAAAUAACAAGAUUCAGCUAUAUUUUUAAAGUGGCUUUGUGGAUGAGUUCCCAGCUUGAGGUGAAACCAUGAAGAGCAAAUAGAACAAAUAAGAAUGCUUUUCCGCAAUCGCUUCUUGCUGCUGCUGGCCCUGGCUGCACUGCUGGCCUUCCUGAGCCUCAGCCUGCAGUUCUUCCACCUGAUCCCUGUAUCGGCUGCUAAGAAUGGUGUGAGUAGCAAGAGUCGAAAGAGGAUCAUGCCCGACCCAGUCACGGAGCCCCCUGUGAUGGAUCCCAUUUACGAAGCUCUCCUGUAUUGCAACAUUCCGAGUGUGGCUGAGAGGAGCAUGGAAGGUCAUGCCCCACAUCAUUUUAAGCUGGUCUCAGUCCAUGUGUUUGUUCGACACGGGGACAGGUAUCCACUGUAUGUCAUUCCCAAAACCAAGAGACCAGAAAUUGACUGCACUCUGGUGGCAAACAGGAAACCGUAUCACCCUAAACUGGAAGCUUUCAUUAGUCACAUGUCGAAAGGAUCUGGAGCCUCUUUUGAAAGCCCCUUACACUCCCUGCCUCUAUACCCCAAUCAUCCGCUGUGUGAGAUGGGGGAGCUCACGCAGACAGGGAUCGUGCAGCAUCUGCAGAAUGGCCAGCUCCUGCGGGACAUUUACCUAAAGAAACACAAACUCCUGCCCAACGAUUGGUCUGCAGAGGAGCUUUACUUAGAGACCACCGGGAAAAGCCGGACUCUGCAAAGUGGGCUGGCUUUGCUUUAUGGCUUUCUCCCAGAUUUUGACUGGAAGAAGAUUUAUUUCAGGCACCAGCCCAGUGCUCUGUUCUGCUCUGGAAACUGCUACUGCCCAGUGAGAAACCAGUAUCUGGAAAAGGAGCAGCGUCGGCAGUACCUCUUACGUUUGAAAAACAGCCAGCUGGAGAGGACCUAUGGGGAGAUGGCCAAGCUCGUGGAUGUCCCCACCAAGCAGCUCCGAGCCGCCAACCCCAUAGACUCCAUGCUCUGCCACUUCUGCCACAACGUCAGCUUCCCUUGCACCAGAAAUGGCUGCAUCGACAUGGAGCACUUCAAGGUGAUUAAGAUGCAUCAGAUAGAGGAUGAGAGAGACAGGCAGGAGAAGAAACUGUACCUUGGGUAUGCGCUCCUGGGCGCCCACCCCAUCCUGAAUCAAACCAUCAGCCGCAUGCUGCGUGCCGCGGAGGGCAGGAGAGAAGAGCUGUUCACCCUCUACUCUGCUCACGACGUCACUCUGUCUCCGGUUCUCAGUGCCCUGGGCCUCACAGAAGCCAGGUUCCCUAGGUUUGCUGCCAGGUUGAUCUUUGAGCUCUGGCAAGACAGAGAAAAGCCCAGUGAACAUUCUGUCCGAAUUCUUUAUAAUGGUGUUGAUGUCACAUUUCACACCUCUUUUUGCCAAGACCACCAUAAGCAUUCUCCCAAGCCCAUGUGCCCGCUGGAAAACUUAGUCCGCUUUGUCAAAAGGGACAUGUUUGUGGCCCUGGGUAGUGGUAGUACUAGUUAUUUUGAUGCAUGUCACAGGGAAGGAUUCUGAAAGGCACACGCAACAGCACUUAGAGAAUCCAUGCCAAUGCAGAAGCUGCUUCUAGUUCUGUUUGUUGCUAAGGGUACAAGAUGACUGGUUUUUAAAGGCUAGAAAUCAUGUUUGGGAGCCAAGGAGAUGGUUUGGAUUGAACAGUAAGUAUGUUGCUAUAAUUAGGUACAUGAGUUGGUUGGUAUGUAAUGGCCAGUUCACAGAGAAAGGAAGGUACUUUGGCGUGGCCCGGCUUUUCUUACAAUGCUAGAAUAAUAUUUCCGCUCUCAAGUUGCCAAUCCAAACGUGUACUCUUUUAACCUGCUGCGGUACUGUAUGCCAGGACCAGCAAGUCUCAGCCAAAAUGUUCUUAAUCUGGGGCAGUCAUACUAUAUCCUCCUUCAGUGCAAAAUUUCCUGAAGUGACUUAUCUAAAAUAUGGGUUGGCAAACUUUUUCUGUAAAGACCAGAUGGUAGAUAUUUUAGACUUUGCACACCGAAAAAAACAGUCACAUACAGUCUCUGUCACAACUAUUCAACUAAGCUCUUAGAAAGUGAAAGCAGGCAGAGACAACACAGUGAGCUACAUUCCUGGGCCUCCAAGACAGGCAGUGGACCAGGCCAGGUUCAGCCCCCAGGCUGUCGUUUGCUGACCUCUGAUCUGAAAAACAGGCUCUCCUACAAUUUGCACUUUCUGCACUUUGAGAACCAGUUAAAAACCAAGAAUUAUUCAGUGGUGCCUCCAGUAACUUCUGCUAGAAACACAGGAUUUGGUCUGUAUUUGAAAUUAGAAGAAAUCUUAAGGGGAAAUAACCAUUGAAUCAAAAUGAAUCAUAAAAAAUCAUUAAAAUAAUACUUGAUGUUCAUGAUGAUUGUGGUAUAAGAUAGUUUUAAGUAUGUUUUAAAUAUUUGUCGUAGUCUGUUUGCUGUAUAUGCUGAAAUUUUUGUAUUCCACUUAGUAUUUUUAUAGUCUAGGAAAGUAUUUUCUAAGACCAGUUUUAGAUGUGCUCUUUUUCCUAUGUGCUAUUCAAUUUACUGUACCUAGUGGGUGGUUAGAAGGGAGCCAGAGCUGAAUUCACACACUUUCUUCCAAUAAAACGAAUUAUGGCUCCUACCCUUGACAAGCCGUAGAAUUAGAUCGAUUUUUAAACCAUUUUCAUCAGUUUCAAAUGGUAAAUUCUAAUUGAUUUUUAAAUCAGUUUUGGGAGAACUUUGUUACUAGAUCACUAAUCUUUAUAAGGUAUUUUAUAUAUUAGAAACAAUUAUAAUUAAAUAUGUGAUUUCUGAAUUAAUGGUGCUAGUUCUGUGUGAUGAAAUGUCAAGUGCAAGCGAUAUCUUCAGUGUUGUUGACCUUCCUUUUCUCUGUUUUUCUUCAGUGAUGCAUUUGAAUAUGUCUAUUUCUAUUAAUAAAUUUUUGAAGACUACUUGUGCACACAACUAAUGGUUUGUACCUGAUGCUACCCUCCACGAGCCACAUGAGGCACCUCUACAUGGCAACAAUCAUCACCCUCAAGUUACUCUCUCAACUGCUCUGAGUCACUCAAACCAACUGCAACCAAAACACGUCCCUGCCAGGAUGCUCACCUGGAGGCCCAGCAUCAUGCUCAGGGCAUAAGUUCAGAUACAACUCCAGGCCAUAUGAGCUUCCCUUUGGGGGAGAAAAGAACUCAAAUAUUCUGAGUCCUGCCUUUGUGCCUCACGUUGUUUGCCACCUUAUAUAAGCACCUCAAUUGGUCCCCAAGGGAAAUUAAGCCCAUUGCUCAUCCUUUGCCCAUGUCUCCUUCAUUAGCUUAUUGACUGGAAUAAAAGUCUCCAGCAUAGUGAGAUGAAGAGUUUAUUAGAAAACCAAAGUGAGGCUUCAAGCCCAGAAAGCAGUCUGACAGAUUUUACUCUAUGAGAACUAUCCCAACAAUCCCAAGUUUGAAUUUAGUUUAUGAAGGCAGGAACAGUGAGUCAUUUGACAUUAAAAAUGUAAUUAUUCUUGACAGGGGGGUUUCUGGUUCUAAGUUGUUUGUACCAAAGAUGAGUUGAUGCUGCCUAUGCACAGAGAAAGGCAAUGCUGGGGCUGAAUGUGAUCCUUUCUGAAGAAUGUGGAGAUGCAAAGGCUGGAUAUCCGGUAUUAAAUCUUCUUUAUUUGUUCCUUGGCCAUUAGUGGAGGCUGAAAAAACUGGCUUUCCCCACAGGCAGCAGAUUUAGCACAGCUUUUUCACAGAUGUCAAGUCUAUGCAGAUGGCUUUGCUCUCUUGCCUGCUAUAGCAGAAAAGGGUUGUUCCCAGAACAUUUCAUAGUUAUGUUCACAAUCUGUAUCUAACCUCACCACCUGUCCAUUUUAGAAGAAGCAACUGACCACAAAGCUGGGCCACUGCUCUAAACCCUCCUUGGUCCUUAGCAAAGCUGAAGGAAAGCAGCCUGGCAGGUGACAUGCACCAGAACACACUCCCACCCUCAGUGCCUCAGUUUAGAGAGCUGUUCCCUGAGGCAACAAGCAGAUCACUCUGUGUCCUCCAAACUUCCUUCUUCCUGCCCCUGGCAGCAGUGCCCAGGAAAGGCAAGACUUCCUCCCAACUUCGAGUCAAGAAUGACUUGGCUAGGAACUCUGCUGGUGAGAAGCCUUUUCAGCAACCUUUCUGCAAAAGUUGGCCCAAGACUGGGACUUGAACAAAUGAAGUGAGCCUGCCAGUCUGCAGACCUUCGAUAUGAGGGGGUGUCACACUGCCCUCUAGUGGUAACUCUGUCUAGCCCAUCAGCAGUUUCUCCUUUCCAGUUGCCCAGCCUAGGUUGAGGCCUCUUUCCUGUCAAAUUGAAUCUCCCUCUGUUGGCCUAAGAAUCAACUCUCUCUUCACCUGUUUACAUUGUCUUCAAGAUGUGGCAAGUAGACACACUCUGGGUCCAGAUGGUUGCAUCCUAACUGCCUUCUUCCCACUGAUGAACCAGCUGUUAGCAUUCUCAACAACUGGCUCUGACGCACAGAGGGUCAUUACAUCGACCUUCUGACUGAUGAACUACUGUCCUUCUGAAAAAUUAAUUCUGAGUAACUGCCUGGAUGUUGGGCUGAUUAAA